rnacentral:lncRNA from 1 species
CAACAACGAACUAAAAGCUGAAAUAACUGAGUCACAUUCUUUGACCGCCCCAAACUUCCAAUUAUCACGUCUCUCAUUGUCUUCCAGUUACGGAGACAGUUUCAUAUUCCCCAAAUUUCUUUACCAUCAACAUGACCUGGAGUAUGUUGAUCUCUCACACAUAAAGAUGAAUGGAGAAUUUCCAAAUUGGUUGUUGGAAAACAACACAAAAUUAGAAACUCUUUCUCUCGUCAAUGAUUCUCUUGGAGGACCUUUUCGGUUGCCAAUUCAUUCACACAAGCGGUUAGGAAUGUUGGAUAUAUCCAACAACAACUUCCGAGGCCACAUUCCAGUAGAAAUUGCAGAUGUUUUACCAAGUUUAUACGCUUUCAACAAUUCCAUGAAUGCUUUAGACGGUAGCAUUCCCUCUUCAUUUGGUAAUAUGAAAUUCCUCCAAUUUCUGGACUUAUCCAACAAUCACUUGACUGGUGAAAUCCCCGAGUACUUGGCCGUCGGUUGCGUCAACUUGAAGUCUCUUGCAUUAUCAAAUAACAACCUACAAGGUCACAUGUUCUCUAGAAAUUUUAACUUGACAAACUUGAAAUGGUUACAAUUGGAGGGCAAUCGCUUCGUAGGUGAGAUCCCACAAAGUUUGUCUAAAUGCUCCUCACUAGAAGGAUUGUAUCUUAACAAUAAUAGUCUUUCGGGUAAGAUUCCACGAUGGUUGGGUAAUCUCACAUGGUUACAAUAUAUUAUAAUGCCCAAUAAUCAUCUUGAAGGCCCUAUUCCAGUGGAGUUUUGUCAGCUUGAUUUGCUUCAGAUUUUGGACAUUUCAGACAACAACAUAUCUGGAAGUCUACCAUCUUGUUUCCAUCCUCUCAAUAUUAAACAAGUUCAUCUUUCAAAAAAUAUGUUACAUGGACAGCUAAAAAGAGGUACAUUCUUUAAUUGCUCUUCCCUUGUGACAUUAGAUCUUAGUUAUAAUCGCUUGAAUGGCAGCAUUCCGGAUUGGGUUGAUGGGCUUUCUCGGUUAAGCCACCUUAUCUUAGGUCACAAUAAUCUUGAAGGUGAAGUGCCAGUUCAAUUGUGCGAAUUGAACCAACUACAAUUGUUAGAUCUUUCUAAUAAUAAUCUUCACAGUCCUAUUCCUCCUUGCUUUGAUAACACCACACUUCAUGAAAGUUACAGCAAUAGUUCUAGUCCUGAUGAGCAAUUUGAAAUAUCUUUUUCCAUCGAAGGCCCUCUAGGAGGUGUAGAAAAGAAAAUCCAUGAAAUUUUUGAGUUCACAACAAAGAACAUUGCGUACAUUUACCAAGGAAAAGUGCUUAGCCUCCUAUCAGGACUUGAUCUUUCUUGCAACAAUCUAAUCGGUCAUAUUCCUCCUCAAAUUGGAAAUUUGACAAGGAUUCAAACAUUGAAUCUAUCGCACAACAACUUGACAGGAUCGAUCCCAUCAACAUUUUCAAACUUGAAGCAUGUCGAAAGUUUGGAUCUUUCCAACAACAAAUUGAAUGGAAAAAUCCCUCAUCAACUAGUGGAGUUAAAGACAUUGGAGGUUUUCAGUGUGGCAUACAAUAACUUAUCAGGCGAAAUUCCAGAAUGGAAAGCACAAUUUGCAACCUUCAACGAGAGUAGCUAUGAGGGAAAUACUUUUCUUUGUGGAUUGCCAUUGCCCAUUUGCAGAUCACCAGCAACUACGCCGGAGGCUUCAAUUGGCAAUGAACGAGAUGAUAAUUUAAUUGACAUGAACAGUUUCUUUAUCACAUUUACAACAUCGUACGUAAUUGUGAUAUUCGGAAUUGUUAUUGUUUUAUAUGUAAAUCCUUAUUGGCGACGUAGAUGGUUUUACUUUGUUGAAAUGUGGAUAACUUCAUGUUACUAUUUUGUUGUAAACAAUCUUAUUGCAACAAGAUAUUGUCAUUGAAAUUAAUUAGCAGUUUAAUUACGAUUUUUUAAGUUCUAAUCAAAUUUGCUUAGGAAAUAUUUUUUUAUUAGAAUUGUAGUAGUAUUUAGCUUUAUAUAGCUUCCAACUUCCAACCACUUCACAUUUGUCUCUACACUUAAAAAACUGAGUGAUCAUGUUUUGCAGAUCUGGAUUUGGAGCAGGAUGGAUCCAAACCCAUAUCUGUCCACCAUAACUUAUAGCUUCCCUAUACUGUGCAGCAUACUUAAAUAAGAGAACCAUCUCCAAUGUUAAAAGCAUUCACUCUAUAACAUUCAUUUAGAAACUAUAUUCAGAAUAAUUUUAUAAUUAAACACAAGAAAUGAAACACACAGAUACACUUGAUCGCCUAUUUUACUCUAAAAAAGAACGAUUAUUGUGCUAUCAUCAUCUUCUUCACUAGCAACAUUAACACCAAAUCGAUGGACCCAUACAUUUCAUCAAGAAAGGUAUAUAUCCAAUAAAGUUGAAGCCUAACAAAAAAUUCAAGAAGAUUAAUGCCUCGCCACAACAAGGGGCACAACAACAUCAAAGUAGAGAUUAAGCAGUAUUCUCAAAGCUAAAACUCUCAAAUCCACCCACCAGAAUUUCAUAUCUCCUCAACAAUUUUAAGAACUAAAGAUAAUUAGGAUUUAACAUUAGUUUUUUAUAUAUUAGUUUCAUAAUUUACAAAUCAAUGAAGAUGAAGAUUAUGCUAAUAAAUUCAAAUUAUACCAUACAUUCUCUAGAUGUUACCAAAAAUUUCUAAGUCAAUCCCACAUAUUUCAUAAUUUUAAGACUAGAAAAUUUCACUAGUUAGAAGUUUCAUUACCUUCAAGUGGAAGAUGAAGAACAUUAUACAAGUGAUUCAGAUUAUAUCAUACAUACUCCAAAUGCAACUAGAAAUUAACAAGUUCAUGCGCACAUAUUUCAUAACAGUAAAAAUUUGUUGCUCAACAUGAUGUGUAUUUUUUUUCAAGGCAAUUUGGAAACACAAUUGUUACUACAGAUAUUCUUCUCAACUUGGAGAUAAAUACAAAUAUUAAAAUGCAUAUGAUCGCACAUAUUACUUCGAGUUUAGUAAGAUUUCAUUAAAAGAAGCAAUCAAACCACUUAUCAAUUGUCGCAGUCGUUCUAUAAACUAAAAUAGCAAUAUAAUACAAGAAAAAGAACAUAUAGAUACUUGGCAAGAGUUCAUUAAGAAGUCGCAUCACAUUCGGGUGAGGAGUUUGCUUCUGAUAUCUUGCUAGCUGGGGCUUUUUCUUGUCUUUCUAUGUAUGCCGAGGGAAACCAACCAGCUUGGCCCUUGCAUUCACCUUCCGACCAUCCAAUAGGAGCCACCUUGAGAAGUUAUAACUAAAACGGUGAAUUAAACAAAAGUUGACCGUUCAAAGACCUAAGGGGAAAACUAAUUCUUUUCACGUAGAAGGAGUGAACUAGUUGUGAUCACUGAAAUAACAACAUAACUAUGGAAGCAUAACAAGAUAUAAAUUCACAUGGCUAUAAGGGUAAACUGAGUGGUUUAGAACUGAGCUAGCAACCCUACUAUAUUCUGAUUUGCACUUCAAUGUAAAAGGGAAUAUAUGGUAGGAAGAAAGAAAACCAACCAGCAUUUGUUAACUCAUUGCUUUUCAAUCAAAAUUUUAAGAACAAAAUGCCAUGUGCUUUGAACAUCAAAUAAGUAUAAGCAUUAGUUCUAAAUUCCACAUAUCAUAAGUUGUUAGAAGGAUAAGUUAAUAGCAGAGUAGAAAAAUCUAUGUGUUGGUAUUUAGAGGGGAAAGUACCUGGCGAACCACAACAUAAUCAUCAAUUGAAAGACUUAGCUUUCCAUUUGCUUGAGCAUCAAAUGGAUGUAUAACCUGCAAGAUAAUGGGAUAAAUAGAACUUAAAAAAAGCAUAACAAAAGCAGCAACAGUAGCAGCAACGUUCAUUGUAACCACUAUGAUCAUGGCCAACAAAGAUAUAUUAGAAACAAAAUUCCAUUUUUACUACGACAUUAAUAUGUACUAUACGAUAUCAUGACGAUUGGGUUACUAAGAGCUAUCAAAGUCUAAUAAGUUCUGUAUAACUUUAUGUAGUUAUUUAAAUUAUGGAUCAGAUUUUAAAUUUGAAAUUUUGACUGCUCUCCACAAAACAUGGCCUAUGCACAAGAAAGUCAUAGAUAAUGAGGAUUACAAGUGUCCGACAUCUUUUGAGUGAUGGAUUUAACAUGAGAGCUUAUGGUCAGUCAAUUUCCUCUGCCUAGCAAUAUAAGCUUUCUCGGCCAGAUUUAUCAUCAAAUACAUAGAUUGCCCCCAAGUCACAUCCAUAUAAACAUAGUUUUUCUAGGUAAACCAAGUAAGGAGUAUCAUAAUUAAGACAUAAUCAUAAAAAGGCUCAUCUAACUUAAGAGAAAAUCUCAAAAAGAGGGAUGCUGAGCUAUCAGUCUUGUAUCUAUAAGCAAUAUCAAGACUUUACAUCACCUGCUACAUCGUGAGUGGCUACACAACUUUCAGUGGUUUGUCUUUCUUUGGCAUGCCUAACUCAGCUUUGAUGUUGCUGAGAUAUUGAUAGUAGAGACACUCAGACACAUGAUACUUCUAGCUCAUGCAUUCUAUCUAACUCAUCCAACAACUAUCUCUUUUUUAAUUCAUUAGUGUUUGCUAAACCUCAUGCUUAAAAGUCCUGUUCUCCUAAACAAAGUUUCCUAAGAAUGACUUCCUUAGCACCACAGUUGGACACUUUUAGAGCAAUUUUAUUUGGGGGGAAAGAAUUUUCAAGGUGUUAACCAAUAAAUUUUAAAAAAUAAUUACAAUUUGUCCUACGAUCAUAUGACAAUUUAUCUGGGAUGAAAGGAUACAGAUAGACAUCUUCCACUUUCAAGACUAAUCACUACUUCCGUAGAUGUUGUCCAAUAAUACAAAUACUUGACCAGAUGGUAGUGAUGGUAGAAAAAAAUUUUAUUGCUCCAAAAUUAAAAUAAGAAUGCAAUAUGUUAAGCAAAAUGCUGUUCAACAUCAAAUUAAUUGAUAAGUUUGUAAUUCAGUAAAUUAACAACUUUCAUGGUAAAAUACAACAAAUUUCUUUUGAAAAAAAUAAAUAAAAUAAAUCUUAAAAGACAGCAUUCAAUUUUGUGCACAUCUUAUUUCUUAAGAUUUUUCAGGAGGAGGGCAAUAGAGGGACUUUCACCUAUGCAAGAGAGCAGAAGCCUUACUUUCCCUAUAAAGUAGACGUCAUUCUGAUUAAUAUGCGUUUGCAAAUCAGCUCCGUUUGAAUCAGUAUUCUGAUAGACACACGAGGCAUUUACAUCCAUUUCCAAAGUCACAUGUUGCGAGGAGGACUCAUUUGAUUGCUCCUAUACGAUCAUCUAAUUCAAGUAGCAAGGGUUGGAAGAGAAUAAAAAGUCACAAUUAUUCUUUUGCAUAAGUGAGACAAAAAUGAUAAAUGCAAUAUUAUCAGCAGUAAACAAGAAGAGAACGCUCCAAGAAAUAGAUAGAUGCAGACAAGCAAGUUAAAAUGCAUAGUCCCAAACCUCCGCAUACAACUUCUCUAAAAUAGCAAUAACGUGUUGAUGCUAUGUUUUCUCAGCAUCUACCUGCAAAGGCCCGAGACCAGGAAAACAACAAUAAAACCACUAGCUGAAGGAGAAAGCAAAGAAAGAAAUACGCUUGACAUAAAUCUUGACAAGAAGCACAAUUUAAGACAUAACAAACCCCAAUCAUAUUGUUUAGAACUACCAUUCGUUAUUUCGUUAUUGUAACAUUUCGAACAAGUGUUGACUUAAUUCAACAUUGUUGGAAAGAUAGGCUUUUAGAAGCAGAAGAAAGCCUCUCAAACCAAAGUGCUUGUCCUUGUAUUGAUCAAGGGAUGUAAACAUAUUACAUUUGCAGGAUGAGAUUUAAUCACUCCCCUGAUUUAUUUGGGUUGCAAUAAAACUAAGCGAGCAACUGUUUGACUUUCAAGCAACAGCUAAAUCAGCUAUUAAAAUUCAAAUAAAAUCAUAAUAGAAUAAUAACAGGCCAUCUUGCAUCAAAAAUUAAGUUUAAUUUGUGAAUUUUUUUCUAUAGACAUGUCAGUUUCUGCUAUUGAAAUGUUAAAAGCAUUGAAAAAUUAUUCAAUAAAUUAUGCAAGCAUUAAAAUAGAGGACAAAUUAAAAAGUUUCUAAUUACAAUGUUAAUAUUUCCUAUAUUUUAGCAUUUGCAUAUUUUAAUUUAUUUAAAAGCUACGUCGAUCAACUUUGGGCAUGAAGAUUUUAGCUUCUACGAGACUUGAUUGGAAUAUGCAUAAGAGUGUUAAAAUAUGAUGCAUCCAACGAAAGACAAACCACGUGUAGUCUUUUAAUUAAGCCAAAGUAGCAGCUCAAACAAAUGACACUUGGACCAACAUGCAAUCAUGAAGUGGCCGGAAAAAGGACAAAUGCUACUUUGGCUUAAAUAAAAAAUAACAUGUGACUUGACUUUUGCUGGACAUGCAUCAUGUUAUUACAAGACAACAGAAAUCAGUAUGAUAGUAAUAAAAGUUGACAAUAACAUGAAGAUAAGAGGCAGAAUGUCAACACAUGCAUAGGCACACACAAGAAAGUAUUAACAUAUAUACCAUAGCAAAAACUCUUUGAUAUGUCAUCUGUUGCUGCUGUGAUUCAACUGACAGCAUGGCAGCUGUCGCUUCUCUACCAAGAGCCAUUAUUGUAGAUUUAAGCUCGGUCAAUCUUGCUUCUGCAUUUCGAAGCUUCACAGCACUCUCUGCUGAUAUAUCAGAUUCCCUAAUCUUUGAUCGGUGCCUAAAUACUUCAGCUGCCUGGUGAAAAUAUUCAAUAUAAAUCUAAUAUAAUUCUCAUCUUGCCUUAUACAUGCAUAUGUUACGUCAAAGCUUACCUGGGCUUCAACUUCAUGUCGAAUACAUCAGCAAUGAUGCUUUCAUAGCAUGAAAGUGUCUAAAUUUAACUGAAUGAUCUUGAUUAAUCAAUUAUGAGUUUUAAUCGAGUAAAAACUAAAUACAAUAAUCGUUAACAAAUAUUGAAAUUGGGUAAAUAUGAUCUUGAUAUUGAUGAAUUUGAAAUCACAACCCACACAGGAAAUUCCCCUUCGCGUGGGGAUGGAGAUGUUUACUGCAGCGAUAUUGAAUAUGUCCACUGCUCUUUGGGUUAUGGUGCGACUUGCCCUGAAACAAUGGAAAAGAUUAACAUACCCUCCAAUGAAUGAAAACGGGUGGACUAAUUCGGAUUACCUAAUUGACUCAGGAUCGGCUGGCAAUAAUAACAGUUUAUUAACAAUGCACAGUCCGAGUACUUUUCCAGGAUCAGAUGCGACGUGGUCUAAUGUUGAUAAUAAUAGAUUAUCAAAUGACAAAUCGUUGUUCUUGGGUGGUGAUUUCAGAAAUAAAAUACAUUCUGAGAGAUGCUGGUGUACUAUUGCAAGCCCCCAGAUUUAAGAAUCUUUUGAUGAUAAUUUAUCACCUGCAGCUGUGCCGGAAGAUUCAAGUAGCACUGAAAAAGAUGAUAAUGUAAUUGAUAUGGACAGUUUCCAUAUCACUUUUAAAUCAUCUUAUGUAAUUGUAAUGUUAGGAAGCAUUAGUGAUCUAAAAGUGAACUAUUAUUGGUGUCAUUGGUGGUUUUAUCUUGUUAAAAUAUGGAUGACUUCCUGUUACUAUUUUAUUGUAGACAAUCUUAUUUAAUUAACAUAUGGUUUAAAACCAUUAUGUUUUAUGUAAAUCAAUCUAUUAAUUUUCGUAAUAUUUAACUGAGUUAAAACCAAGUGCACUCAAUAAAUGUCUUUUCCUUCAAAAAACUGCUACGCUUUGAUUUUAGUGCUUAAUAUUUCGUAACUACAGAUUAUCUAAUUGCGAGUUGCUGUCCAUAGCUGCUAAUUUAUAGUGAUUAUCUAAUUGACGGAGGUGACAAUAAUUCUUUUAUUUUCAAUAGCACAACGUGGAAUUCAAUAAUUAAAUUCUCCUGUUUAAUUUGUUUUAAGUUAAAUUAUUAAUUACUUAAACUCUGUUUUAAGUCUUUAAUUUUCUGUGUUUAUGCAGAAUUGGAUUCUUGAGCGUGUUGGACAUGACCAACAAUGAAAUUGACUGUAAACAAACAUUACAACGUGUGGACUCCGGUAGCUACCCCGCAAGUCUACAACUUCACAAAUAAUAAUUGAGUAAGCACCUUUGAUUUUUUAGCCCCGUUGACUCCACCGACUAAAGUUUUGUAAAAUAAAAAAAAAUACAUAGAAUUCCACCAAAUGCAAAACGCGUGGAAUUUAAUUUUCGGCCGUGUAGAUCAAAACAUAAUUUAACGAAAAAGGAAAAAAAUGAUAAGAUUUUUAAAAUGUGUGGAAGAUGAUCCAUAUUUUACUGAAACAACUUGUUAAAUUUUUCAAGGAUUUAAAAUAUUUGGUCAUAAAUUACGUGCAUGUUAAUUUUUCCGCCAUUGACUAUCAUAUUGUAGACUUAAUGGUACCUUUCUUGAUGAAGGGUGCUUAAUCUCUCUUCUCCUCUUAUAAAAAUUAUAUUAAUUGAUUUCUUGUUAUAGUUAAUAGUCUUCAAGAACGGAUAGAUUUAUUGUUUUCAUGACCAAAUUAUGCAUGCCUAACGUUGCAACUAUUAAUAAAAUUAAUAUUUAAUGUUUGUGUUAAAAUAUAUAAGAUUUUAUGCAUUCAUUAAUUGUUAUUAGCUAAAGGAUGAAUUAUUUUUUCCCAAUCAGUUGAUGCAUCUGCAAGAGUUUUUUUUUUUCUUUUAUUGACCAUAAUUAUAUUCCGGGUACAAUAAAUUGUCUUUGGUGCUUGGAAGAUAUGACAUCUCUCUGUCAACUUACUGGAAAUAUCUCCUCAUCUACUCUCAUUUAUCUAAUAUCAAUUGAAGAUCUCAUAUUUCCAAACUAUGACUUCCAAAUCUCAUUAUCAUUUGAGCAUUCAAAACUAAUCAAGUGUGGAAAUAAUCAAAUAUAUGCAAAAAUCGAGUCACAAUCUUUGGCCCCUCAAAAUUCUAAUUAUAUAACUUCAUAUCUCAUACAUUUUCCAAAUUCCUCUUCCAUCAACAUCACUAGGAGUAUGUUCAUCUCUCACACAUUAACUUGAGUGGAGAGUUUCCAAAUUGAUUGUCAGAAAACAAUACAAAAGCUAGACAAACUUGAUCUGUCUACUAAUUAUCUUUCGGUAAAAUUAAUUAAUUUUAGGGUAAUAUUCAGCCAACCUCUGUAAUUUUAGAGUGAUCAUUAAUUAAUUAAACGAUACAAUAUCUAAAGUGAUUAGAUGUUUGCGGACAAUACAAGUUCAUGGCUUGAAAUUUGAUCUCUAUCGAUUGGUUUACAGAUGGACGUACUUGUGCCUUUGUGGUGAUAAUUGAACCAGAGAUGUGAAGCUGAUAGUAAAUUGUUAUAAAGGCAUAAAGACAAGUUCCCAUGAUUAUUAUUUUUUCCAAAAACUAUUUUACAACAAAUUCAUCUCGCCAAAAAUUCUAUUUUGCUAACUAACAAUAAUUGAGCACUUGACCGCAUUGACUCCACGUCUCCAGCUACUUUCUAAGUAAAAACAUGGAAAUGUAAUCUCCACAAAAUGCCAAACGUGUGGAAUUUAAUUUUUGGCCUUGUGGACCAAAAUGCAAAUGAAAGAAAAAGAAGGAAAAAAACAAGGCCCAAAGACUUCUAAAAGAUGUAAAAGUCUUUGGGUUUUUUUAUAAUGGUGGAUUUUUUAAAAGAAAAAAAUAACAACACUUCUAUGGUUUGUUUUGAUAAUCACAUUUACAUAUACUCUCUAAUUUUCAAAAUGGACACAUAAAUCUUUUUUUUCUACAAAUGUAUAUUAUUCGUAUUGUUUAUUAUUUUUAAUAUCAUAUUGUUAUUUAUUAUAAAUGUUUAAAGUAAUUUUUAGGUUGAAAUAUAAUAAAAAGGUAUAAUCGUUCUCUUAUUAAACACCCAUACUUUUAGUUUCUAUCCAUUUGUCAUCUCAAUCUCUCUCAAUUAUUCUUUAUUGCUAGCUCAAAACGCGUUGCUGUUGCAAAUUAUAGCAAAAAGACAAAUAUGGAAAAGAAAAAAGGGUAGAAAAUUAAUGCAUGAAAGACUUGGAGAAAACAACGAAGUAAGUCAACUAUAAUCUAGCUGGGUGUAUAAAUUGUUUGAUGCUUUAUAAGCAAAUAACAUACAGAGACAGACAAUGUGUGUUCGUUUUUUCAUAGUUAAAGAUAUAGUUAGAAUGGGUGGUUCAAAAUCAAAAAUGGUGAUAAUGUUUGUUAUGUUAUUAAUAAUAUUUAAAAGUGGGUGGAGUGAGGGAUGUUGGGAUCACGAGAGAUUUGCUCUUUUGCGACUCAAACAUUUCUUCGAUGAUACUGGUAGUUAUCUUUACGACUGGGUAGAUGAUGAGGGAGCUACUGAUUGUUGUCAAUGGGAAAGGGUUGAGUGCAGCAACACCACAGGCCGAGUGAUAGCGCUAGACCUUUUUGAAAUGUAUUCGGGAGAGUACAGCUGGUAUCUGAAUGCUUCUUUGUUUACUCCCUUCCAACAACUUGAGUCACUUGAUUUAACUGACAACAAUAUAGCUGGUUGUGUUGAGAAUGAAGGUGCUUCGUUUAAUUUAAUUAAUUUACUUUCUCCCCCCUAAUUUAAGUUGAAUAUCAAGACCGAGCAACUAUACGCAUAUUCAUUUAGUCGACAAUUUUGACUUUUUUUUUAAGUGAUUAAUUAAUUUUAAAAUUACACCAAUAUCUAUGAUCUUUUUUUUUUUUUAAUUUUGCUUGCAGGUCUAGAGAGGCUAUCAAGAUUGAACAACUUGAAGAUGCUUAAUUUAUGUGAUAACUCGUUCAACAAUAGCAUUUUAUCAUCACUAACUCAUCUUUCAUCAUUAAGAUCAUUAAAUUUAUACGGGAAUAGAUUGGAAGGAAGUAUUGACGUUAAAGGUACAUAAUUAAAACUUCAUCCCUUAUCCAAGCUCUUUCAUUAACUUGCUAAAAUAAGAUUCAAGGCUUUGAAUUCAAUUUUUUUUUUAUGAUUAGUAUUAAAAAAACAGUUUCAAGCAAUUUAUAAAUACAAGUUUUAAUGUUUCUCAUAAUUUCAUCUUGUACUUUGAUAUGUCUCGAAUUUAAGAUUAAAAAAAAAAAACUCUAAUAGCGAACCAAACACCUCCACAACUUAUUAUUAUUAUUAUUAUUUGUGGUGAGGUUUGAAACAUUCAACUCAAUUUGUACUUAUUACAGAAUUUGAUUCUUUGAGAGAUUUAGAGGAGCUAGACAUUGGUGAGAACAAGAUUGACAAAUUUGUGGUCUCAAAAGGUACUACAAAUACCAUAAAAAAAAUGCUAACUUAUUCAAAUUAGUUGGAUUCUUUGCCAUUUGGUUUAUUAUUUUGCAGGUUUGAGUAAGCUGAAGUCUCUCGAUUUAAGUGGUAUGAAACUCAAUCGUAGCAUCUUAUCUUCUCUUUCUUCGUUAAGAGAAUUAUAUAUAAGUCGUACGGGAUUCAAAGGAACAUUUGAUGUUCGAGGUAAGUCUAAGCCUUGCUUUCUCAUUUUAUAUAUGCCAACUAGAUUUGUGUAUCAUCGCCAUAAUUUAAUAUUUAAUUUGAUAAGUCUGAAGGAAUUACAUGCUAAUUUAAACAUACUUUUAUUUACUUUGUCCAUUAAUUAAUUAAUUACUAUUUGGCUUGGUUUGGAUGAAAUUCUCAUGAUGUUUUAAUUUCUUUAAAUUAAUUAAUUAAUUAACUCUGUUUUUAAGUCUUAAGUCUGGGCAUGUUUGCAGAAUUUGAUUCCUUCAAUAACUUAGAAGUGUUGGACAUGAGUGGCAAUGAAAUCGACAAUCUUGUGGUUCCUCAAGGUAAACAAUUAAAAUAUUAUUCAAUUACAUUAUUUUAAUUCAUUUGAUUAGAGAAGGCCAAAAAGGUCCCAAAAAAAAAUAAUAAUAAAGAAACAGAUAAUUUGUAUUAUUUAAAAAACAUAGUGUAAUAAAGAUUUGAUUCUAGUUAUUUAAUCUUUAAAGCGAUUGAAAAACAAUGUUACUCUUUUCCCAAAGCAUAAAAUACGAAUUGAAUGCCAAUUAACUUAAUCAUUCAUUUCGUUUAGCUCUAAAUUUAGACAAUGAAUUUUUAUAUUAUUUCAAAAACAAGACGUAAUAGAAUUUUUUUAAAAAACAGAUUGUAAUAAAGAUUUGAUUCCAAUUCUUUAACCUUUACAGUGAUUGAAAAACGAUACUGCUUCCCAAAGCAUAAAAUGCAAAUUGACUCCCAAUUAAAUUAAUCAUUUAUUUCAUUUAGGUCUAAAUUUUAGAAAAAUGAAUUUUGAUUCUCUUCAAUCUUUUCUUAAUUAUUAUUAAAAAACAGGUUACAGAGGUUUGAGGAAGCUGAAAAGCCUUGAUCUAUCGGGAGUUGGAAUUAGAGAUGGAAGCAAGUUGUUACAGUCAAUGGGAUCAUUCCCAUCCCUCAACACUCUUUACCUGAGGGAUAAUAAUUUUACCGAUAUAGCGACAACUACUACUCAAGGUAAGUAAAAGGUACAAAUGUGGCCAAAUUUAUAAAUAAACUGUUAAUUAAUUAAUUUUUCCGUAUUAUUAAUUAAGCUAAAUCCGUUGCUCCUUCCUUCUAAAUCUAAACAGAGUUGCACAAUUUCACCAACUUGGAAUAUUUGAAAUUGGACGAAUCCUGUCUCCAUAUAAGCCUUCUGCAAAGCAUUGCAUCAUUAUUCCCUUCGUUAAAAAAUCUGUCGAUGUCUUAUUGUGAAGUCAAUGGUGUCGUACGCGGUCAAGGUAAAAGAAAAGCGUUGAUUGUGAACUCACUCAAUGGUGUCCUACGUGUUCAACAUUUUUAUUUAUUUAUUUAUUGUUUAAUGUUUCUGCUAGGUUUUCCUCAUUUCAAGAGUUUGGAACAUUUUCACAUGCAUUUCACGCGCAUUGCACUCAACACCAACUUUCUUCAAAUCAUCGGAGAAUCAAUGCCUUCUCUUAAGUACUUAUCACUGUCAAAUUCUACUCGUGGCACUAACAGCAGCAGGAUUCUUGAUCAAGGUUAAUCAGAUGCUCCCACCCUCCCUUCUUAAUCUAUAAUAUUAAUUUUCAAUUCAAUAUUUAAUUACACAAACAAUACGCAUUCAUUAAUUUUUAUAUUGUAUUAAUUGAUGAAUUUAAUAAAUUUUCAGGCCUCUGUUCGCUGGUGCAUCUGCAAGAAUUGCGCAUGGCUGAUAAUGAUUUAAGAGGUAGCUUGCCUUGGUGCUUGGCAAAUAUGACAUCCCUCCGAAUAUUAGAUGUUUCUAUCAAUCAACUUACUGGAAGCAUCUUCUCAUCUCCCCUCGUUCAUUUGACAUCCAUUGAAGAGUUGUAUCUUUCAAACAACCACUUCCAGAUCCCAAUUUCACUUGAACCACUUUUCAAUCAUUCAAGACUCAAGAUUUUUUAUGCUGACAACAACGAACUAAAUGCAGAAAUAACUGAGUCACAUUCUUUGACCGCCCCAAACUUCCAAUUAAAUAGACUCUUGUUGUCUUCCAGUUACGGAGACAGUUUCAUAUUCCCCAAAUUUCUUUACCAUCAACAUGACCUGGAGCUUGUUGAUCUCUCACACAUAAAGAUGAAUGGAGAAUUUCCAACUUGGUUGUUGGAAAACAACACAAAAUUAGAAACUCUUUCUCUCGUCAAUGAUUCUCUUGGAGGAACUUUUCGGUUGCCAAUUCAUUCACACAAGCG